rnacentral:rRNA from 1 species
CCCUUAGAUGUUCUGGGCCGCACGCGCGCUACACUGAUGAAUUCAACGAGCACUAACCUGUGCCGAAAGGUUCGGGUAAUCUUGUGAAAUUUCAUCGUGAUGGGGAUUGAUUAUUGCAAUUUUUAAUCAUAAACGAGGAAUGCCUAGUAAGCGUGAGUCAUCAGCUCACGUUGAUUACGUCCCUGCCCUUUGUACACACCGCCCGUCGCUCCUACCGAUUGAGUGGUCCGGUGAGGCUUUGGGAUCUGAGCGGAAAGAGCGUUUCGCUGUUUCUGCUCGGAAAACUCAGUCGAACCUUAUCAUUUAGAGGAAGGAGAAGUCGUAACA